GCAUAUAUCGAAAUUAUAUUAAAAAAUAUAGGUCACCGAUGAGUUUAAAGAGAUAUUUCAAUUUUAAAGCCAAAAAAUGGCAUUUUUCCACCAAAGGGAGAUAAUUUGGAACUUUUUCAAUGAUGUUUACAUUUUAAUAGUCAUCUGGGGCCAACACGAAUUAAUUGUUUUGAAUGUUUUUUGUACCAUAUGAUAAAGUAACAUCUACAAAAGGUAAUAAAUAAAAUUU
rnacentral:lncRNA from 1 species